GGAGGCCCUCGGGUGGCAGCUGGGUUCUCACUGGCACUGUUCUCCCCACAGCGACCGGAGCCCGCUCCUACAGCUUUGCUGACCGCGAAGGAGUGGCGAUGAGGGGACUUGCUGCAAACGCGGCAGGUUUACCUAGUUCUCCUCGGCAGCAGCGUGAAACUGGUCAUUUUUACUAAUACAGGCAGCUCUGCAGAAUGCAAGAGGGGAAACAGCGCUACCGGUGAAAGACUGGUCAUUGAGAGUCACAGGGGAAGACCAGAAUGAAGGCAAAACACAAUAUAACUUUCCGCUGGAGGGGAUUAAGACAUUGUCUGCGUACAGAAAUCUGAAGAACUUCCACAGCAGGUACCAGAUCACUGACCGAAGCUCAGAAUCUCCCAACACAGUCAUGGUCUUGUCAUUUCUUAUAAAGAAACAGCAGAUACAUUUUAAGAAGCCCCAUUUAGUAAUGUCAGAAUGGUUGAAGGGAGUUUACAUAACUGAGAACUGAAGAGUAAAAAUAGAGGAAGUAUAACUGAACAGAGCAUUAUGACACUAGCAGUGUAGUAGCAACUCCCCUAGUUCUCCAUUCCCAGCAAUUCCUUAGCUUUUCAGAGAAAGAGCAUCAACCCAUGCCUGCACUGACUUAAAAUCCAUCUAUCUCAGUACCAGCCAGUACCAGACAUCCCAGGUAGCAGAUAAUCUAUUUAUGCAAUGGAAGCCAUCUCUACCUCUAAUGCAACCAUUUGGGCCUAUUAUCUGAAGUUCAGUGUUACUAGUUAUGAUAAUCCAAAAAGUCACUCAAGUCCUUCUUUGGAGAAAAAAAGUUUGCAUCCAAAUAGAAACAUUCUUGGCUCAGAAAUCUGAAGUGCCUAUGAGUGCAGCUGGCUUGAGGAGCAGCAGCUAGAUCCUGAGUUCGUUACCCUACAGUGUUGCUGAGGCGGGGGAUACAGCAGCCUUGGAAGAGCAAAGGGUCCUUUGUUACUGAGUUGGGUAGUUUCAUCAGAGAGAGACAAUUUUCAGCUGGAAAAACACUGUCCUAAAAAUCACUGGGAUCAAAGAAUGUGAAGGGAAGGGAGGAAGUAAGAUUCUCCUGUCCUUCCAUUACGUGAGAUUAGAGAAACAAAAUAAACCACCCCUUUGCUAACAUCCAAAAGCAAUGAGUGCAUGUUUUCAAGAAAAAGGAAAACCUGAUAAAAUAUGCUUGUACAGUGUCUGGAAAACAAAGCCCCAGCCUCUGAGGCUUUAAGGAGUCAUUACUUUAGAACACAUUAGUGUCGUAACUAGACCUGAAAUGGAUUUUAUACUGCUUGGAGAGUAAGGCACAGACUUGAAAUAGACAAGACCAUCAGUUGUGAGAUUCAAGGUGCUGUGCCUUCUUCAGGCUCUGGUAAUAGUGAAAAUUAAGUUAGUGUCUGAGGGCUGGCAUAGAAGAAAUCUGUCUCAGUAUCACACAUUUCAAGGCUUUAAGCGCACAGGAUCACUUCUAGCACCACCUGCCCACUGAGAAGUACAAAUGUAAGGGUCUGAAUACGAACACUUUGUGGUUUGAUACUGGCCUCUUGCCACUUCCUUAUGACUUCCUUGGUUUUAUUCUAGAGAAGGUUAACUCAAGACUCUUCCUAAUGCAGUGUUGAAUGGAUAUCUAACUGUGAGCCUGGUUUUUGUCUGAGCUUUGUUAAACACAUGCUGUAGGUCUCCAGAAUGCUGUCUCCUUCAUUUGGCCACAUAAUUAUAAAAUAAGCUACUGUGAGAACAUAUCCAAAAUAAAGCAGGGUAUCUUUCUCUGAAAGAAUAUACAACAGUUUGGCAUCAGCCCAGAACUGUAAGAGUUUCUGUUUUCGGCAGGUCUGUUUUUCUUACUUGGAAACAAUAGUGGUAUUCAUGACUGGGCAGCUCAUGAGGUUACCACUUCUGAAGCUGCAUUUCUCAAUAUGCAGCAAUCACUAUAAAAGAUGCAUCAUACUUCAGACCUUAGCACAUUCAGUGUUACCACAGUGAUUUCCCUUUUGCUGGGUCCUACGGAGUAAUUAAGAAAAUAAUUUGUUUUGAAGUGAAACAUUGCAUGUACAUAUGAAGCAGCUCAGUCCUGCACACAGACAUGUAGAACUGUGGGCCAAGGCUUUGUAGGUUGAAAUACAUAUACACAGUGAGGGCUAUUCUUUUGUUUCUGCCCUUCAAAUCUCUCUUUCUCCUUCCAGUCAGCUUCUUUCUAGCCAAUGUUAAUCUGCUGCACACAGAAAAUGAGCACAUUUACACAAUUACCUGUUUGCCAAACGUUGUUUUGUUCCUUUAGUUAUUCCACACAAGUGGUUUUCAGCUGACAAGUUGUCAGUUACGUCGUUUGCAAGUUGUCAGGCCUCCCAUGUUACAGCAUAUUUGCCCAGACCUAGAAAGAAAGACUAUGGCUUUUUCACAGACAAAGAUAAGCUACAAAAUUCAUUGCAAACCAAUUUCUUCUGCUCAAUAAAUAGUUGAACAAAAGGCAAGCCCCUGCAAAGCAAUGCAUGUUUGUCUUCUGUAAUAUAACACUAUGUCAGACACCACAGAAAGCUAUAGAAAGAAGGCAUGCUACAGCAGCUCUGAAAACAAAGAGAGAUGCUGACCAGCAAAACUCUUAGGAAACACCAAGAAAAAGGGUGCAGAAUUUAAAUGUCAGGCAAGAGAAGAACAAAGGUUUCAAUGAUGUCAUUAGCAAGAGAAUAAUCUAGUAAAAUGUAGAAACACUGUAGAAUAGGUAUAUAUAUCUGAUCAGUCUUUACAGUCAAAUGAGAAGAAAAAGGUGCAUUUAGGAUGCAUUUUUUAUUAAAUCCUGAAAUAGAUGUUUAAAAAUGGAUUAAAUGCACCAUGCUGAAGUGCCUUUUUCUCUAUGUUAAUUGCCAAGGAGGUGAGAGUGUUAAGUCCCUAGUGAGCCUCUUCUGAGGCUAUUAGGACAGGUAAUACAAAACAAAUCUGUUUUUUGUCUCAUGUUUCUGUAACAUCAUAGGAGACUAACGUAAAUAAAAUAGGCAGAUGAGGGAAAACUACAGAUAAGUCAAUGAUUGCUCCAGAUCUACAUGCUUUUCAGUAUGUGGUUUAUGAAUCAAAGGCAGGAACCCAACAGUUGUUCCCAUGAACUGGACCAGUGGUCUGACUGGGGCACUCUGCUGCUGUUCCUAGGAGCUGCAGAAAGUACAAGAAAUUCUACAGCAGAAAAUUAUGAGUAAACACAGCAGAUCUUCAAAUACCUCUGUCUUUUAGUUUCUGUCCAUUUUCACUUUUGUUUCAUUAAAUACAGGAUUUGAUAUAACUGCAGAGAAAUGAAACUGAAAUUUUCCCUUCCGGGUCAAGUGAUCAGAACCCAUGAGCUAGUUGUUUGUCUUUUUUUAAACAUACUGCUUGGAAGUGUGGUUUUUUAAGAAGAUAAUCAGGAAAAGGUCAUUGUUUUACUGGAAUAAUUACACAGAAUAAGCAAUGACAGUUGCAUAUUCUUAGUAGGACACUAAAAACUAUCUGUAGAUGUCCAAUUGGCCUGCCUGAACUCAUACAACACCAGCACAGAAGGCCCAGUCUUGGUAGCCAUAUGCAGUGGUCCUAAGAGAGCCUCUUCUCAGCAGGGAGCAUCUUCUCUGGGGUUGGGCUGCUCCUCCCUGUGGCUCACUGCUGUCUCCACUGCCAUCUCUGAGC